UAAUUAGAAGGGAAGGGGAGAAUCUAUCACGUGCUUGCGAGGGAGGGCGCUGUUUUGCUGAAAUAGCACCUGUUCUAGUAGAGUUUAAAACAAGCUCAUAGUGAGAAAAUCAAGGUGCUUGCAACAUUGAGGAUUUUUUCUUCUCUGCAGAACUGGUUUCAGUAGCCAGUUUCCUAUGAGAUCAGUCUUGAACAAACAGAGGAAGGGAGGUUCUGAAUUAAAAAGCAUUUUUACAGCAUCCAGUAAUGCAAUGGCUGGACGACCACGAUGUGUCAGAUUAACUGGGUGGACACACUGGAUAUUAUCAACAAUUCUGCUGCUGUGGAGUUACCAGAUCAGUGGACAAGGACAAGCAGAAUCACUUGGAAUGCUUCAGAUGGACCCAGUAAGCUACUACCAACAGGAAUUUUUCCCCUGGUUUCAGAAGUAA
rnacentral:lncRNA from 1 species